UCUGGUUCUUGGGCCCUGUCUGCUCCAUGGUUUUACAACAUCUGGGUUGCACAUCACCCAAGAUCCUCUCUUGAGUGACUGGCUGUGGCUGAUGAAUGUUUGGGAAACGCUGGGUCAUUUCCCUUGGAUAAAAGCUCUAACUGCCACAAUUUGUUCUUGGCUGCAAGAUGCCAGAGGGAAGUGAGUCUGUAGAAGCAGAAGUUUGCAGGACAGCACCAUGGGGUGAAGUCAACCAGUCAACACUAGGGUCCCAUGUCCACCACAACCUGCAGUGGAAGUCCAGCACCCCUCUUACCCCUCAGUUUCCUUCAUCUCCCAAGUGAAAUCACAGAAAUAAUAGUGUCUAG